rnacentral:rRNA from 1 species
AUUGAACGCUGGCGGCAUGCUUUACACAUGCAAGUCGAACGGUAACAGGCCGCAAGGUGCUGACGAGUGGCGAACGGGUGAGUAAUGCAUCGGAACGUGCCCAGUCGUGGGGGAUAACUACUCGAAAGGGUAGCUAAUACCGCAUACGAUCUAUGGAUGAAAGCGGGGGACCGUAAGGCCUCGCGCGAUUGGAGCGGCCGAUGUCAGAUUAGGUAGUUGGUGGGGUAAAGGCUCACCAAGCCAACGAUCUGUAGCUGGUCUGAGAGGACGACCAGCCACACUGGGACUGAGACACGGCCCAGACUCCUACGGGAGGCAGCAGUGGGGAAUUUUGGACAAUGGGCGCAAGCCUGAUCCAGCAAUGCCGCGUGCAGGAAGAAGGCCUUCGGGUUGUAAACUGCUUUUGUACGGAACGAAACGGCUCUGGUUAAUACCCGGGGCUAAUGACGGUACCGUAAGAAUAAGCACCGGCUAACUACGU